GACGAACCGAGCGAACGUUGUUCGGAAUCACUGGGCUUAAAGGGCGCGUAGGCGGGUGCUCAAGUCCGUGGUGAAAUCCUGGAGCUCAACUCCAGAACUGCCUUCGAUACUGGGAGUCUCGAGUUCGGGAGAGGUGAGUGGAACUGCGAGUGUAGAGGUGAAAUUCGUAGAUAUUCGCAAGGACACCAGUGGCGAAGGCGGCUCACUGGCCCGAUACUGACGCUGAGGUGCGAAAGCGUGGGAGCAAACAGG
rnacentral:rRNA from 1 species